GUCCAACCGAAACCUCCGCCGAGCCGCAAAUGGGCGACCUUCCCGGAACGUGUGAGAAAACAUUCUAGCGACUUGUGACGGCCUGACAGGAACACUCCAAUGUCCUAUACAAGGACCAGCUGGCGUGCAAUGUUCCCAUCAUGCAUCAGCGGCGCCCGUAGUCAAGAGAGCCAAAGAGGCCACCAGGAACGUGCACUCAGACUCUGGACUUCUGGGUGAACCUUGGCCCCAGUCUGAGGUCCUGAGCACUCUGGAGAAGGUUUUCGUCCAGGAUAUCCCUGUACUUGGCCGCAUUCAUCUUUUCUUCAAUUGCAACCAGUCUCCUUGUCCCUGCAGCUGAACCCCCCCCCCCCCCUCCCAGCAUGAUGCUGCCACCACCGUGCUUCACUGUUGGGACUGUAUUGGACAUGUGAUGAGCAGUGCCUGA